GACAGAGGGUGCAAACGUUGUUCGGAAUUACUGGGCGUAAAGCGCGUGUAGGCGGCUUGGCAAGUCGGGUGUGAAAGCCCCGGGCUCAACCUGGGAAGUGCACUCGAAACUGACUUGGCUUGAGUUACUGGAGAGGGAAGCGGAAUUCUCGGUGUAGAGGUGAAAUUCGAUGAGAUAUCGAGAGGAACGACCGUGGCCGAAGGGCGG
rnacentral:rRNA from 1 species